CCAGCUCUCUUUGCCAAUUGGCUUAGAUCAAGUGUAGUAUCUGUUCUUUUCAGUUUAAUCUCUGAAAGUUUUCUGUCAAAGAAAACACAUUGAUUAUUCUCAUUUUUGGAUCUCGCGACUUGGCCUCUGUGCUUGCGCAUGCCUCGUCGCACAGUGUCAUCGGGCUUACACUACCCCCGAUCGACGCGAACCCCC
rnacentral:snRNA from 1 species